UGCCUAUAUAACAUUUUUCGAGG
rnacentral:siRNA from 1 species